GUUAGAAACAUCCAUGGCAGCCGGCAGCAGCAGCACACCUACUGAUGCCGCAGCGGGAGCCGGUCAUGGAGGAGUCUGCAGUGUGUCGGGCGGCGCUGCAGGGAGAGCCGUGAUGGUCGUGACAUUGGGAGGGCUGUCAGGUAAAAGAUCCUGGAAUUGAGAGACUCCACCUGCAGGUUGGUGGGUGGAGAGGAUGACGACAGUGUAAAGCAAAGAUAGACACAUCGCAGAAAAGGGGACAGAGGCUUGAGAAGCAGUGGGGGGUGGAUGAGGACUAUUAGGGUUCUGGAUGGAUCAGUAGGGACCCACCUAUCACACCCUGCAGUGGAUAAACAAGAGGAUUACCUUCUCUUUUUAUCUGCCCAAAGUGAUCCUCCCACGAGGCGAUGAAGCAGCCCCUCACCUCUCUGUCAAAUGUCCAUGGAGGAUACUUUGAUUACAAAGACUGGCCAUUUAUAAUACAAGUCUGUGCGUGUGGGUUUUCUGCUGAAUGCCACAAGAACCACACAUCAAGGCAUAGCUUGAGAGAUGGAUGGAGUUGAUGUGCUAAUAGUCCAAUAAAACCAAGUAUAUUUCCUGUCAGCUUCCCUCUUUGGCAAUGUGCAAUAUUGAAUUAGCGGGGACCCCUAAAGAAUGUUUGUAUUAAACUAUGAAAUGGU